CCCUUAGAUGUUCUGGGCCGCACGCGCGCUACACUGUUCGACGCAGCGAGUCUUAACCUUGACCGAAAGGUUUGGGUAAUCUUCAGCAAAGUCGAACGUGAUGGGGAUCGAUCAUUGCAAUUAUUGAUCGUGAACGAGGAAUUCCUAGUAAGUGCCAGUCAUCAGCUUGCGCUGAUUACGUCCCUGCCCUUUGUACACACCGCCCGUCGCUACUACCGAUUGAAUGGUUUAGUGAGAUCUCUGGAUUGACGCUGGCUAGGGGGCGACCCUUGGCCAGACUGUUGAGAAACUGCUCAAACUUGAUCAUUUAGAGGAAGUAAAAGUCGUAACA
rnacentral:rRNA from 1 species